ACAACCUUCGAUAGAAGAUAUCUCAAAAUUUCCAACCCUUGAAAUAAAGUCCAAAAUUAAAAUACAAAAGGGAAAACUCAUUUUUGUUCACGCUCCACACUCAGAAACCGCUCACACAAUCAGAAAAUUCUCUCAAAAUCGAUCUGAGCUCAUCUCAGAAAACUCAAAGUUCGGAGCUCAUCUCAUCUCAUCUCAUCUCCGACGGGCUGAUUUGCGGUGGUCAGCUGUCUCAUCUCCGACGACAAGCGAGCCGUUGAUAGACUUAGCACUCUUUGCCACCCCAUUUCCGAUUACAGAUUAUUUAUGACAGAUAAUGAAGAUCAAUCUCGAAUAGAAAAUCCCAUCAGGAAGGUCAAGGAUUUAGCUGAGGAACAAAAUGAACAUAACCUCUACGCAUACACUCCCAAAGGAAAGUGAGGAAGAUAAUGCCUCUUAGAAUAUCAUAUAUGGUAUAUUUUUCCCUUAACUUCUGUUUCGUUUUGUUUGAUUGUUGAAUCCAUAGUUAUUGCUGCUUAUCAUUUAAAUAUAGUGUUUGGUAGCUCUGUUUUAUUGUAGGAAAUAAAAAUGAUAUAUUUUGGGUUUUUCUUAUGUGAUACUAUUGUGGCUGGUAUUGAAUCUCGUGAUGGUUUUCUUAGCUGAUCCAAAUGAUAUCUUCUUGACAGAUGGAGCAAGCCCAGCUGAAAUUUUUGACUUCACUUUCUUUUUGUUUCUAUAACUGCCAGUAUUUUCCAUUUCCAAUUGAUACAUUUAUAACAGAUUGUGUUUCUCUCUUACCAGGUGCAUAGGAUGAUGCAAUUACUGAUAAAGUCAGAAAAUGAUGGAUUUCUUUGUCCCAUUCCUCCGUACCCUUUAUACCCUGCUUCAAUUGAUCUCCAUGGUGGUACACUGCAUAGAUUUAACACUGACCUGACUUGGUAACCUGGAAGUUGGAAAAUGGAAAGUUGAUUUAUUCUUUUUUUUUUUUUUAAUUUUCAUUCAAUCUUGAAGUAUGGUCAUUUCUGGUUCCUUACUUUCUCAAUGAAGCAACAGGAUGGGGAUUGGAAGUCUCUUCACUUAAGAAGCAAUUGGAGGCUGCCAAGUCCCAAGGCAUCAUAGUUAGGGCUUUGGUUGUUAUAAAUCCCAGAAACCCAACAGGCCAGGUUUGCUAUUAGUAGGUUUGAAGAAGUAGAGAUUUGACUAGCAAAGUACCUAAAGUUCACGUAACAGAGAAUGCAUUGCUAUGUGUCUAUUUUUGUCCCUGUACAUUAUAUGAUUUAUCUGUUGUACCUGCAGGUUCUUGGUGAGGAGAACCAGCGUGACAUUGUGGAAUUCUGCGGGAAAGAAGGUCUUGUGCUACUGGCAGAUGAGAUCAACAAGACUAUUUUGGUGCUUAUACAUAUGAAAGGAUUGAUGUGGAGGGAUCUUUCCAUACUGAAUGGUUCAAGCUUGCCAAACAGUGUAAGAUAAGUUUUGGAGGUAUUCCACUUGAAUGAAACUCAAAAUAAUCCUAAUAAAUUUCUGCCCAGGACUCUGCUGGGCAGAGCUGACACCACCUCUACCUGUUAAAAUGUAUCUCAAUUAUUCUGUUUAAUUGCUUGAAGUUUGUUUAUGUUGUUUGUUUGUGUUUUGGCAGAUUCUGCUAGUUCUCUUUAUAUUUGUUCUUGUUUUUUGCAGGGAGGUUGGGUUUCAAGACUGAACAUGGAAGUGGACAGAGGAAUUCAUUAGUACCAAAGAAAACCUUAGUAAAUCUUGGUUGUGUAUAAACUGCACAAUUUAUAAUCAUAUUAAUUUAUGAGAC